rnacentral:misc_RNA from 1 species
GAUGAAGAACGUAGCGAAAUGCGAUACGUAAUGUGAAUUGCAAAUUCAGUGAAUCAUCGAGUCUUUGAACGCACAUUGCGCCCCCUGGUAUUCCGGGGGGCAUGCCUGUCCGAGCGUCAUUGCUGCCCUCAAGCCCGGCUUGUGUGUUGGGCCCCGUCCUCCGAUCCCGGGGGACGGGCCCGAAAGGCAGCGGCGGCACCGCGUCCGGUCCUCGAGCGUAUGGGGCUUUGUCACCCGCUCUGUAGGCCCGGCCGGCGCUUGCCGAUCAACCCAAAUUUUUAUCCAGGUUGACCUCGGAUCAGGUAGGGAUACCCGCUGAACUUAAGCAUAUCAAUAAGCGGAGGA